CGACCUCAAAUCAGGUAGGAUUACCCGCUGAACUUAAGCAUAUCAAUAAGCGGAGGA
rnacentral:rRNA from 1 species